rnacentral:rRNA from 1 species
AAUGACCGGGACAAAGGGUCGCGAUCCCGCGAGGGUGAGCAAACCCUUGAAACCCUUCCUAAGGUCAGAUUGUAGGCUGCAAUAUGGAUCUGAAUUG